UGCGUAGGUGGUUGUUUAAGUCUGUAGUGAAAGCCCUGGGCUCAACCUGGGAACUGCAGUGGAAACUGGACGACUAGAGUGUGGUAGAGGGUAGCGGAAUUCCUGGUGUAGCAGUGAAAUGCGUAGAGAUCAGGAGGAACAUCCAUGGCGAAGGCAGCUACCUGGACCAACACUGACACUGAGGCACGAAAGCGUGGGGAGCAAACA
rnacentral:rRNA from 1 species